rnacentral:rRNA from 1 species
AGAGUUUGAUCAUGGCUCAGGACGAACGCUGGCGGCGUGCCUAACACAUGCAAGUCGAGCGGGGACUUCGGUCCUAGCGGCGGACGGGUGAGUAACACGUGGGUAACCUGCCUUGUAGAGGGGGAUAGCCUUCCGAAAGGAAGAUUAAUACCGCAUAACAUUGUGCUUUCGCAUGAGAGUAUAAUCAAAGGAGCAAUCCGCUACAAGAUGGACCCGCGGCGCAUUAGCUAGUUGGUGAGGUAACGGCUCACCAAGGCGACGAUGCGUAGCCGGCCUGAGAGGGUGAACGGCCACAUUGGAACUGAGACACGGUCCAGACUCCUACGGGAGGCAGCAGUGGGGAAUAUUGCACAAUGGGCGAAAGCCUGAUGCAGCAACGCCGCGUGAGUGAUGAAGGCCUUCGGGUUGUAAAGCUCUGUCUUCUGGGACGAUAAUGACGGUACCAGAGGAGGAAGCCACGGCUAACUACGUGCCAGCAGCCGCGGUAAUACGUAGGUGGCAAGCGUUGUCCGGAUUUACUGGGCGUAAAGGAUGCGUAGGCGGAUGCUUAAGUCAGAUGUGAAAAUCCCGGGCUUAACUUGGGAACUGCAUUUGAAACUGGGUAUCUAGAGUGCGGGAGAGGAGAGUGGAAUUCCUAGUGUAGCGGUGAAAUGCGUAGAGAUUAGGAAGAACACCAGUGGCGAAGGCGACUCUCUGGACCGUAACUGACGCUGAGGCAUGAAAGCGUGGGGAGCAAACAGGAUUAGAUACCCUGGUAGUCCACGCCGUAAACUAUGAAUACUAGGUGUGGGAGUUGUCAUGACUUCCGUGCCGCAGUUAACACAAUAAGUAUUCCGCCUGGGGAGUACGGUCGCAAGAUUAAAACUCAAAUGAAUUGACGG